UACGUAGGGGGCAAGCGUUAUCCGGAUUUACUGGGUGUAAAGGGAGCGUAGGUGGCAAGGCAAGUCAGAUGUGAAAACCCGGGGCCCAACCCCCGAACUGCAUUUGAAACUGUUGGUCUUGAGUAUCGGAGAGGCAGGCGGAAUUCCUAGUGUAGCGGUGAAAUGCGUAGAUAUUAGGAGGAACACCAGUGGCGAAGGCGGCCUGCUGGACGACAACUGACGGUGAGGCGCGAAAGCGUGGGGAGCAAACAGG
rnacentral:rRNA from 1 species